GAUCUCCCCGUGCAGAAGCGUUUAUAAUACCAUAANACGAGAAGACCCUAUGGAGCUUUAGACGUCAGAGCAGCCCAUGUAAAGCACCCCUUAACAAAGGAAAAAACCAAAUGAANCCUGCCCUAAUGUCUUUGGUUGGGGCGACCGCGGGGAAAUACAAAACCCCCAUGUGGAGUAGGAAUACACAUUCCUAAACCCAAGAGCUCCCGCUCUAAUGAACAGAAAUUCUGACCAAUAAGAUCCGGCACACGCCGAUCAACGGACCGAGUUACCCUAGGGAUAACAGCGCAAUCCCCUUAAAGAGCCCUUAUCGACAAGGGGGUUUACGACCUCGAUGUUGGAUCAGGACAUCCUAAUGGUGCAGCCGCUAUUAAGGGUUCGUUUGUUCAACGAUUAAAGUCCUACGUGAUCUGAGUUC
rnacentral:rRNA from 1 species